rnacentral:rRNA from 1 species
ACUCAAAUGAAUUGACGGGGGCCCGCACAAGCGGUGGAGCAUGUGGUUUAAUUCGACGCAACGCGAAGAACCUUACCAAGGCUUGACAUGGGAAAGACCGGACGAGAGAUCGUCCUUCUCUAGCAAUAGAGCUUUCCACACAGGUGCUGCAUGGCUGUCGUCAGCUCGUGUCGUGAGAUGUUGGGUUAAGUCCCGCAACGAGCGCAACCCUCGUCUUUAGUUGCCAUCAUUCAGUUGGGCCCUCUAGAGAGACUGCCGCGAAUAACGCGGAGGAAGGUGGGGACGACGUCAAGUCAUCAUGGCCCUUACGUCUUGGGCUACACACGUGCUACAAUGGAUGUUACAAAGGGUCGCAAGAGCGCAAGCUGGAGCCAAUCCCCAAAAGCAUCCUCAGUUCAGAUUGAGGUCUGCAACUCGACCUCAUGAAGGUGGAAUCGCUAGUAAUCGCGGAUCAGAACGCCGCGGUGAAUACGUUCCCGGGCCUUGUACACACCGCCCGU